GAUUCGAGUUGGGCAAUUGCUACUCGUAGCAAUGCUAAUUGAGUAGAGGAAAGUCCGAACACCACAGAACAGGGUGCCGGGUAACGCCCGGGGGAUCCGGUGUAAUGCCGGAUUCACGGAUAGCGCCACAGAAAAUAUACCGCCCCGACUUGUCUCGGGGUAAGGGUGAAAAGGCAGGGUAAGAGCCUACCGCAUCGUCAGUAAUGGCGAUGGUCCCUUUUAUGGGAAUCCCGAUUAAAUUCGGGAUCAAGGCAAGCCCCACCCGGUGCAAGGUCAAGCAGAAAGCGUUCCUUUUUUAAGGAAGCGGGUUGUUCGCCCGUAAUGCUUUCGGGUAGACCGCUGGAGCCAAACAGCAAUGUUUGGUCGAGAUAAAUAAUUGCCGCCCCGAUGUAUCGGGAUUACAGAAUUCGGCUUAUAGACUCGAAUCAUCU
rnacentral:RNase_P_RNA from 1 species